AACGCACAUUGCGCCCGCUAGUAUUCUGGCGGGCAUGCCUGUUCGAGCGUCAUUUCAACCAUCAAGCCCCCGGCUUGCGUUGGAGCCCUGCGGCUGCCGCAGGCUCCCAAAUCCAGUGGCGGGCUCGUCGUCGUACCGAGUGCAGUAAACAUCCUCGCUCAGGGAACGCGUCGGGUUCUUGCCGUGAAACCCCCCCUAUAUUAAGGUUGACCUCGGAUCAGGUAGGAAUACCCGCUGAACUUAA
rnacentral:misc_RNA from 1 species